GUUGAUGGAUGGUGACUUUGGAGACUGUGCUUGCUCUGACAAGAGAGCCAUUGCCAUACUGAGGUCUUUCUCUGUCAUUGAGAGACCUUGAUUUUUUAGCCGAGAAAACUCGGGAGGAAGCGAUCUUAGAUCUUCUUUGUUCAAGGUAAGAGCCCUUGAAUCUUCACCCAUGGUUGGAGUUUUCCCUCUGAUCCUUGCUUGUUCAUCAGCUGUAGCCUUUUUUUCUUUCCUUCUUGCACAGUUUCAGGAAAGGUGUCCCAUUCUUUUGCAGAAGAUACACUUCUCUGAGACCUUUUCAUAUUCAAAGGAUAUUUGCUCAAAGGAGUUCCCCAGGUGCAUGUUGCAUUUCUCCCACAAAUGGGCAUGGAGAUCUACCUCUACCAUUACCUCUGAUAUCGGGUCCAG
rnacentral:lncRNA from 1 species